UACGUAGGGUGCAAGCGUUGUCCGGAAUUAUUGGGCGUAAAGAGCUCGUAGGCGGUUCGUCGCGUCGGCUGUGAAAACCCGGAGCUCAACUCCGGGCCUGCAGUCGAUACGGGCGGACUAGAGUUCGGCAGGGGAGACUGGAAUUCCUGGUGUAGCGGUGAAAUGCGCAGAUAUCAGGAAGAACACCCGUGGCGAAGGCGGCUCUCUGGGACGGUACUGACGCUGAGACGCGAAAGCGUGGGGAGCGAACAGG
rnacentral:rRNA from 1 species